CCUACGGGAGGCAGCAGUGGGGAAUUUUGGACAAUGGGGGCAACCCUGAUCCAGCCAUUCCGCGUGAGUGAAGAAGGCCUUCGGGUUGUAAAGCUCUUUCGGCAGGAACGAAACGGUGAGCUCUAACAUAGCUCGCUAAUGACGGUACCUGAAGAAGAAGCACCGGCUAACUACGUGCCAGCAGCCGCGGUAA
rnacentral:rRNA from 1 species